UGGGGGAUCGUCUAAUGGUAGGACACUGCACUCUGGAUGCAGGAAUUGGGGUUCGACUCCCUGUCCCCCAG
rnacentral:tRNA from 1 species